rnacentral:rRNA from 1 species
AAGUCGAGCGCCCCGCAAGGGGAGCGGCAGACGGGUGAGUAACGCGUGGGAAUCUACCCUUUUCUACGGAAUAACGCAGGGAAACUUGUGCUAAUACCGUAUGUGUCCUUCGGGAGAAAGAUUUAUCGGGAAAGGAUGAGCCCGCGUUGGAUUAGCUAGUUGGUGGGGUAAAGGCCUACCAAGGCGACGAUCCAUAGCUGGUCUGAGAGGAUGAUCAGCCACAUUGGGACUGAGACACGGCCCAAACUCC